rnacentral:rRNA from 1 species
GACGUAGGGCGCGAGCGUUGUCCGGAUUUAUUGGGCGUAAAGAGCUCGUAGGCGGCUCAUCGCGUCUGCCGUGAAAACCCGCAGCUCAACUGCGGGCUUGCGGUUGAUACGGGUGGGCUGGAGUUCGGUAGGGGAGACUGGAAUUCCUGGUGUAGCGGUGAAAUGCGCAGAUAUCAGGAGGAACACCAAUAGCGAAGGCAGCUCGCUGGGACGUUACUGACACUGAGGCGCGAAAGCGUGGGGAGCGAACAGG